GGAAGUAAAAGUCGUAACAAGGUCUCCGUUGGUGAACCAGCGGAGGGAUCAUUACCGAGUUAUCCAACUCCCAACCCCUGUGAAUUAUACCUUUAAUUGUUGCUUCGGCGGGACUUCGCGCCCGCCGGGGACCCAAACCUUCUGAAUUUUUUAAUAAGUAUCUUCUGAGUGGUUAAAAAAAAUGAAUCAAAACUUUCAACAACGGAUCUCUUGGUUCUGGCAUCGAUGAAGAACGCAGCGAAAUGCGAUAAGUAAUGUGAAUUGCAGAAUUCAGUGAAUCAUCGAAUCUUUGAACGCACAUUGCGCCCGUCAGUAUUCUGGCGGGCAUGCCUGUUCGAGCGUCAUUACGCCCCUCAAGUCCCCUGUGGACUUGGUGUUGGGGAAUCGGCGAGGCUGGUUUUCCAGCACAGCCGUCCCUUAAAUUAAUUGGCGGUCUCGCCGUGGCCCUCCUCUGCGCAGUAGUAAAACACUCGCAACAGAGCCCCGGCGCGGUCCACUGCCGUAAAACCCCCCAACUUUUUAUAGUUGACCUCGAAUCAGGUAGGACUACCCGCUGAACUUAAGCAUAUCAAUAAGCGGAGGA
rnacentral:rRNA from 1 species